UACGUAGGGUGCGAGCGUUGUCCGGAAUUAUUGGGCGUAAAGGGCUCGUAGGCGGUCUGUCGCGUCGGGAGUGAAAACUCAGGGCUUAACCCUGAGCCUGCUUCCGAUACGGGCAGACUAGAGGUAUGCAGGGGAGAACGGAAUUCCCGGUGUAGCGGUGAAAUGCGCAGAUAUCGGGAGGAACACCGGUGGCGAAGGCGGUUCUCUGGGCCUUACCUGACGCUGAGGAGCGAAAGCGUGGGGAGCGAACAGG
rnacentral:rRNA from 1 species